rnacentral:rRNA from 1 species
GGACCUUACUGCUAUCGGGGUGGGACUAAAACAUGCUAGUCGAGCGCCUCCAAGCUAUGGUGAAGGCGCGGCGAACGGCUCAGUAACACGUGGCCAACCUACCCUUAGGACGGAGACAACCCCGGGAAACUGGGGCUAAUCCCUGAUAGGUGAGGACGCCUGGAAUGACCCCUCACCCAAAGGACGUUGAAACCAUGCUUUUCAGCGUUGCCUAAGGAUGGAGCCGCGGCCGAUCAGGUUGUUGGUGGGGCAAAGGCUCACCAAGCCUAUAACCGGUACGGGCCAUGAGAGUGGGAGCCCGGAGAUGGGCACUGAGACAAGGGCCCAGGCCCUACGGGGCGCAGCAGUUGCGAAACCUCCACAAUGCACGAAAGUGUGAUGGGGCUAACCCGAGUGCCGUCCGCUGAGGAUGGCUUUUCUCCGCUGUAAGGAGGCGGAGGAAUAAGGAGAGGGCAAGACUGGUGUCAGCCGCCGCGGUAAUACCAGCUCUCCGAGUGGUAGGGACGAUUAUUGGGCUUAAAGCGUUCGUAGCCGGCCUGGAAAGUCUCUCGUCAAAUCCAGCGACCCAAUCGCUGGGCCGCAGGAGAUACUACUAGGCUUGGGAGCGGGAGAGGCCGACGGUAUUCCCGGGGUAGGAGUGAAAUCCUGUAAUCCCGGGAGGACCACCAGUGGCGAAGGCUGUCGGCUAGAACGCGUCCGACGGUGAGGGACGAAAGCUGGGGGAGCGAACCGGAUUAGAUACCCGGGUAGUCCCAGCUGUAAACGAUGCGGGCUAGGUGUCGGUGUGGCUACGAGCCACUCCGGUGCCGCAGGGAAGCUCUUAAGCCCGCCGCCUGGGAAGUACGGUCGCAAGGCUGAAACUUAAAGGAAUUGGCGGGGGAGCAC